rnacentral:rRNA from 1 species
AAAGACUAAGGGUUUCUGAUCUACGUUCGACGAAUCAGAGUUAGUCGGAGCCUAAGGAUAACUGGGUGACUGGGAGUCCGAUGGUAAACUGGUUAAUAAUCCAGUACCUAUAAUACACGAGGUGAAGGGGUGACAGAGGAGUGACAGGUCUGCGUGCUGACGGAAUAGCACGUUAAAGGGUGUAGAUAAAUACUUGACAGGUAAAUCCGUCGAGUAUGUUGAACCUGAUAGUACCGAGAUCCGUAAGGAGAUUGGAAAAUGGCCGUAAACAUACUUUCAAGAAAAGCCUCUAAGCCGCUUGAGUGUAGAAUAGACCGUACCGUAAACCGACACAGGUAGUUGGGGAGAGGAUCUUAAGGUGCGCGAGAGAAUCAUGGCUAAGGAACUCGGCAAAAUAGCCCCGUAACUUAGGGAGAAGGGGUCCCACUGAGAGGUGGGCGCAGGAAGUGGCCCAGGCGACUGUUUACCAAGAACACAGGGCUAUGCAAAAUUGAAAGAUGAAGUAUAUAGCCUGACACCUGCCCGGUGCCGGAAGGUUAAAGGGAGGGGUUAUCUAUCGCAAGAUGGAGAAGCUCUGAACUGAAGCCCCGGUAAACGGCGGCCGUAACUAUAACGGUCCUAAGGUAGCGAAAUUCCUUGUCGGGUAAAUUCCGACCUGCACGAAUGGUGUAACGAUCUGGGCGCUGUCUCAGCCAUGAGCUUGGUGAAAUUGAAGUAGCGGUGAAGAUGCCGCUUACCUACCGCGGGACGGAAAGACCCCGUGAACCUUCACUGCAACUUAGUAUUGGGUCUGGGUAUAAGAUGUGUAGGAUAGGUGGGAGACUAUGAAGCUGUGGCGCCAGCUACAGUGGAGUCGACGUUGAAAUACCACCCUUCUUAUACUUGGGUUCUAAUCCACGUAAAGUGGAGACAGUGCUAGGUGGGUAGUUUGACUGGGGUGGUCGCCUCCAAAAGAGUAACGGAGGCUUCCAAAGGUACCCUCAGCACGGACGGCAAUCGUGCGAUGAGUGUAAUGGCACAAGGGUGCUUGACUGAGAGACAAACAAGUCGAUCAGGGACGAAAGUCGGGCAUAGUGAUCCGGUGGUUCUGUAUGGAAGGGCCAUCGCUCAAAGGAUAAAAGGUACUCCGGGGAUAACAGGCUGAUCACUCCCAAGAGCUCACAUCGACGGAGUGGUUUGGCACCUCGAUGUCGGCUCGUCACAUCCUGGGGCUGGAGAAGGUCCCAAGGGUUCGGCUGUUCGCCGAUUAAAGUGGCACGCGAGCUGGGUUCAGAACGUCGCGAGACAGUUCGGUCCCUAUCUGCGGUAGGCGUUGGAAUCUUGAGAAGAGUCAUCCUUAGUACGAGAGGACCGGGAUGAACAUACCUCUAGUGUACCUGUUGUAGUGCCAACUACAUAGCAGGGUAGCUAUGUAUGGUAAGGAUAAGCACUGAAAGCAUAUAAGUGCGAAGCCAACUUCAAGAUUAGGAUUCCUUUGAGGGUCGUUAGAGACGAUGACGUUGAUAGGCUGCAGGUGUAAUCGCAGUAAUGCGUUUAGCCAAGCAGUACUAAUUACCCAAAGCUUCCUCC